rnacentral:misc_RNA from 1 species
GAUGAAGAACGCAGCGAAAUGCGAUACUUGGUGUGAAUUGCAGAAUCCCGUGAACCAUCGAGUCUUUGAACGCAAGUUGCGCCCGAAGCCACUAGGCCGAGGGCACGCCUGCCUGGGCGUCACACGCCGUUGCCCCCCCAUCUACUCCUUCGGGAUUGCGGGGGGGCGGAUGAUGGCCUCCUGUGCGCCUAGCCGCGCGGUUGGCAUAAAUACCAAGUCCUCGGCGACGCACGCCACGACAAUCGGUGGUUGCGAAACCUCGGUUGCCCGUCGUGUGCGUUCGUCGCGCAUCGAGGGCUCGAAAAAAUGCUCGGCUCCGGCUGGGCUUUCAACGCGACCCCAGGUCAAGCGGGGUUACCCGCUGAAUUUAAGCAUAUCAAUAAGCGGAGGA